UCGAACGGGACUCAUCCGGUGGCAACACCGGAGAAGGUUCAGUGGCGAACGGGUGCGUAACACGUGAGCAACCUAUCCCGAAGACCGGGAUAACACCGGGAAACCGGUGCUAAUACUGGAUGCCCCCACCGGGUCGCAUGGCCUGGUGAGGAAAGGAUUUUUUGCUUUGGGACGGGCUCGCGGCCUAUCAGCUUGUUGGUGGGGUAAUGGCUCACCAAGGCCACGACGGGUAGCUGGUCUGAGAGGACGACCAGCCACACUGGGACUGAGACACGGCCCAGACUCCUACGGGAGGCAGCAGUAGGGAAUCUUGCGCAAUGGGCGAAAGCCUGACGCAGCAACGCCGCGUGGGGGAUGAAGGCCUUCGGGUUGUAAACCCCUUUCAGCAGGGACGAAACUGACGGUACCUGCAGAAGAAGCCCCGGCCAACUACGUGCCAGCAGCCGCGGUAAUACGUAGGGGGCAAGCGUUGUCCGGAAUUAUUGGGCGUAAAGCGCUCGUAGGCGGCUUGGCAAGUCGGGUGUUAAACCUCCAGGCUUAACCUGGAGCUCGCGCUCGAU
rnacentral:rRNA from 1 species